rnacentral:sRNA from 1 species
UCAAUUACAUUAGUGACAUUGUAGACAU